rnacentral:rRNA from 1 species
UACGAAGGGGGCUAGCGUUGCUCGGAAUCACUGGGCGUAAAGGGCGCGUAGGCGGCCAAGUAAGUUGGGGGUGAAAGCCCGUGGCUCAACCACGGAAUUGCCUUCGAUACUGCUUGGCUUGAGACCGGAAGAGGUGAGUGGAACUGCGAGUGUAGAGGUGAAAUUCGUAGAUAUUCGCAAGAACACCAGUGGCGAAGGCGGCUCACUGGUCCGGAUCUGACGCUCAUGCACGAAAGCGUGGGGAGCAAACAGG